rnacentral:misc_RNA from 1 species
ACCGCGGCCGCUCCAUGGUAUAGCUAAAAAAAAUUUACACUUUCACUCCAUCCUUAAAGUUAUUUCAUUGAAAUAUUAAAAGCUAAGCAUAACCAACUCUAGAUUUAUAAGCCAAAUCAUAAUUCCAUUCAAAGAAUAUCUCCUCUCUCUCCUUUUUCUUUAUUAUUCUCUCUCAACUAAUCAUUUUAAAUAAACAAAGAAAAAGAAAGUUGGAGUUUAUUUUCAAAUCGAAGUUUUCCUAUCCUUUCUUACACUUUCUCGGAAACCAAACACCUGAGAAAUGAACUGAAAAAAAAAAAA